ACCUGGCUAGCUCAAUUGGUAGAGCAUGAGACUCUUAAUUUCAGGGUUGUGGGUUUGAGCCCCAUGUUGGGCU